AACGAACGCUGGCGGCAUGCCUAACACAUGCAAGUCGAACGAGACCUUCGGGUCUAGUGGCGCACGGGUGCGUAACGCGUGGGAAUCUGCCCUGGGGUGCGGAAUAACUCGGAGAAAUCCGUGCUAAUACCGCAUAAUGUCUUCGGACCAAAGAUUUAUCGCCCUGGGAUGAGCCCGCGUAGGAUUAGCUAGUUGGUGGGUAAAGGCCUACCAAGGCGACGAUCCUUAGCUGGUCUGAGAGGAUGAUCAGCCACACUGGGACUGAGACACGGCCCAGACUCCUACGGGAGGCAGCAGUGGGGAAUAUUGGACAAUGGGCGAAAGCCUGAUCCAGCAAUGCCGCGUGAGUGAUGAAGGCCCUA
rnacentral:rRNA from 1 species